AAAAUCGGUUCCCGUACGAUCACUGACGUUAAGCAGCGUCGAGCCUGGUCAGUAAUUAGAUAGGUGACCGCUUGAGAAUACC